GACGAACGCUGGCGGCGCGCUUAACACAUGCAAGUCGAGCGAGAACCAGUCCUUCGGGACUGGGGACAGCGGCGAACGGGUGAGUAACACGUGGGUAAUCUGCCCUCGGCGCCGGAAUAGCCCGGGGAAACCCGGAUUAAUGCCGGAUGGCCUCUCUGCCCCUCGGGGCGGUGAGAAAAGGUAGCUUCGGCCUCUGGCCGAGGAUGAGCCCGCGGCCGAUUAGCUUGUUGGUGGGGUAACGGCUCACCAAGGCGACGAUCGGUAGCUGGUCUGAGAGGACGAUCAGCCACACUGGGACUGAGACACGGCCCAGACUCCUACGGGAGGCAGCAGUGGGGAAUCUUGCGCAAUGGGCGAAAGCCUGACGCAGCGACGCCGCGUGCGGGAAGAAGGCCUUCGGGUUGUAAACCGCUUUCAGGAGGGACGAAGCCACUCGGGUGAAUAGCCUAGAGGGUGACGGUACCUCCAGAAGAAGCCCCGGCUAACUACGUGCCAGCAGCCGCAGUAACAC
rnacentral:rRNA from 1 species